UCCAAGCGACGUUCGGUAGGCCCAUCACAUCCAUUUAACCCAGCCCAUCAUCGGUGUGGUCCUCAUUCGAUCCCCAAUUCGCUCCAACAAACCCUAGCCGCAUAGUGCAUCUCAAUCCACCCCCAAAUUGAACCAAGACACCCUAGCUAGCUGGUAAAGAUGGCAGAUGCAGUUGUUGAUUCGGUCACCCUGCUACUCGUGCCUUGCCCGGAUUGCGGCAGGAACGUCGUGACAUAUGUAGUUCGCCGCUGCCAGAACGGCGUCGAGCGUUUCUACAAGUGCCGCAGUCACAUCCACGUGGUGGAUGCGACUUCUAUAGGUGUCCGCAAGCUUACGCCGAGUCGCUUGCUGCUGCAGACCAAAGGUAAUGUAAGUUGCAGAGGUCUAUGCUUAUUAGCAGGGUUGGGAUUUUGCAGAGGAAAUUCGACUCCCCGUCUUUGUCUUGGAUGGCAAUUACAGUCGACUAGAACUGUCUUGGAUGGCAAUUACAGUCGACUAAAACUCGCUCUGUCUUAUCUGAAACGCACACGCACACGCACACGCACACGCACACGCACCUCUUAUCAGGGAAAUAACCAUAUUAAUUUAGGUGCAAGGCUCUGAGUGAAAUCAGGCUAUAUUAAUUCAGGUGCGACGGCGGCUCUGCAAGAAUGCCCUCUGAAAUUUACACAUAUGGUGAAUUAUGUUAGAAUAGGAAACCAAGUCUGCACUGGGUUUGGCAGCUUCUGGUGUUGGUCGAUGCAAUAAACAAUGGACACUGCUGGAAGGAAACCAAGAACAGGAAGUUUGCUCGAAUGAGCAAGCUAAGGGCUGCAAAUGUCCACAAGGCUUCAAGGGUGACGGCGUACACGGCUGCAAAGGAGUACCUACAAGAGGCAGGGUGAGGAAGGAGCAACUGUUGGAGUCACAAUAACAACAGUGGCGAUGGUGGGGAAGGAUCGAUUCCGCCACUCAGGUGGCGCGAUUCUGCCACUCAGGUGGCUAUUCCAUCGGCAAUGCUGCUAGCUCGAUCUACGGGGUGGCGAUUCUGCCACUCAGAUGGCCGGCGGCUGCAGCGGGCGGUGGAACUAGAAGAUUGAUCGCGUAGGUGGGUGGCGCCGCAGAUGGGCGCCAAAAUCGUGCUGGUGGGCGGCGGCUGCCCCCUUGCGAUGGCGCAGGCGACGGAUGGAGGAAGAAGCAGACGGGGACCUAUUUCAAACAGUCUUGGAAGUACGAGUCCUUGUUUUUUUUGCUAAAAUGCAGUCCACUAGGUGCGCGACAAUCUUUUUUGGACGGAUGGGUUAUUAUCUUGUGAAAUUCUGACCUGAAUUCCCUGUGCUUUGUGUAAAUACAGACCAAGAGAUUCUUUUGCCUUC